rnacentral:rRNA from 1 species
UACGUAGGUGGCAAGCGUUAUCCGGAUUUAUUGGGCGUAAAGGGAACGCAGGCGGUCUUUUAAGUCUGAUGUGAAAGCCUUCGGCUUAACCUGAGUAGUGCAUUGGAAACUGGGAGACUUGAGUGCAGAAGAGGAGAGUGGAACUCCAUGUGUAGCGGUGAAAUGCGUAGAUAUAUGGAAGAACACCAGUGGCGAAAGCGGCUCUCUGGUCUGUAACUGACGCUGAGGGUCGAAAGCGUGGGUAGCAAACAGG